rnacentral:rRNA from 1 species
AUUGAACGCUGGCGGCAUGCCUUACACAUGCAAGUCGAACGGUAACAGGUCUUCGGAUGCUGACGAGUGGCGGACGGGUGAGUAAUGUCUGGGAAACUGCCUGAUGGAGGGGGAUAACUACUGGAAACGGUAGCUAAUACCGCAUAACGUCGCAAGACCAAAGAGGGGGACCUUCGGGCCUCUUGCCAUCAGAUGUGCCCAGAUGGGAUUAGCUAGUAGGUGGGGUAACGGCUCACCUAGGCGACGAUCCCUAGCUGGUCUGAGAGGAUGACCAGCCACGCUGGAACUGAGACACGGUCCAGACUCCUACGGGAGGCAGCAGUGGGGAAUAUUGCACAAUGGGCGCAAGCCUGAUGCAGCCAUGCCGCGUGUAUGAAGAAGGCCUUCGGGUUGUAAAGUACUUUCAGCGGGGAGGAAGGCGAUAAGGUUAAUAACCUUGUCGAUUGACGUUACCCGCAGAAGAAGCACCGGCUAACUCCGUGCCAGCCGCCGCCGUAACAC